ensembl:snoRNA small nucleolar RNA SNORA42/SNORA80 family
GCAUGGGUUUGGAUUUAUGGCAGGCCCGUCACCAUGGGCCUCUCAUAGUGUCCCAUGCCAGAGCAAACUGUAGCCCCGAACCAUUGCCUGGCCUCCUUUCCCAUAGGCUGCAGGCACUGAAGCGGGCUGCACAGUG